GAUGAACGCUGGCGGCGUGCCUAAUACAUGCAAGUCGAGCGAACAGACGAGGAGCUUGCUCCUCUGACGUUAGCGGCGGACGGGUGAGUAACACGUGGAUAACCUACCUAUAAGACUGGGAUAACUUCGGGAAACCGGAGCUAAUACCGGAUAAUAUAUUGAACCGCAUGGUUCAAUAGUGAAAGACGGUUUUGCUGUCACUUAUAGAUGGAUCCGCGCCGCAUUAGCUAGUUGGUAAGGUAACGGCUUACCAAGGCAACGAUGCGUAGCCGACAUGAGAGGGGGAUCGGCCACACUGGAACUGAGACACGGUACAGACUCCUACGGGAGGCAGCAGUAGGGAAGAUUCCGCAAUGGGCGAAAGCCUGACGGAGCAACGCCGCGUGAGUGAUGAAGGUCUUCGGAUCGUAAAACUCUGUUAUUAGGGAAGAACAAAUGUGUAAGUAACUAUGCACGUAUUGACGGUACCUAAUCAGAAAGCCACGGCUAACUACGUG
rnacentral:rRNA from 1 species